rnacentral:lncRNA from 1 species
UGGACAAUUGAUCUGUCAAAUAAAUUAACACGACAAUAAUGUUUAAGCAGAACAAAAUUAUUCAAUGAUUUCAAUACACAUUUAUUUCAAAUCUAUUAGAAUUGAACACAAGUCCGAUUAACCGGUUAGCGUUUUUGGAAUUAGAUGUUCGGUCCUUCCCAUGGUUAACCGUUGACAUCACUACUAUUUCGUCUUGAAUACUGAUAGUGUUCUACCACAAUUAUUUGCAAUGUAAACUUUUGAUAGUUUCUCAUUGUAAUAAAAUGCAAGAGGAUUGUACACAUUAUCUGGUGAUAAAAUGUCGACUAAGAUUCCAGAAGAUGUAAGAAUAUGGAUGUUAUCCCGUCCAAGGACGAGUAAAUUGCCAGCAUCAUCAAUUUGAAUACCUCGUGCAUGCCGAAGAUCGGGAGAAGUAUAAGAGAAAACAGGUUCUCCAUCUGACGUAAUGCAUUGGACUUCAUUGAAAGUUGAAUAACAGAUGUUUCCAUUUGAGCAAACGGAAAUGUAACUAAUGUAAUGAUCUACGUUUUUCAAAUGUAUUGUUCUAACGAAAUUUCCACGUAGGUCUAGGACAUAUAUUUUCCCUAUAGUUCCGAUAUAUAUGUUUUCUUUUGUAGCAGCAACACCAUAACAUUCACCUUGUUUCACUUCUAUCUUCUUUAAUAUUUUCUGUCUAUCUAUAUCUAUCAACUGUAUGUACGGUGUAGAUUUACAAGACACAACAGCUGUGGUUGUUUCUGGUAUAGCUGUUAUAUCCCAUGGUUUAUAUUUAGCAUUGAUACAUGAUUGAUAGGUAUCGUUUUCAUCACAAAAAUAUACCUUUUCUUUACACAGACUAUCACAGAAAAUCAAUAUUUUAUCAUCUGAUAUUGUGAUGCCAGUUACUCCAUUCAACUUUUUUCCUUUCAUGUCGAUGUCACGAAGAUAGGUGAACGAGCUAAUGUUGUGCUUCAGAACAAUUGGAACCGGUGACUGCCUCUGCUUGUAAGGGACAAUUGAAACUGAACUAGGAGUUUCCUUCGAUUCUAUCGAACCGAUAUCCGUCACAUAUUCUUUCGAGUGUUUUUCUAAAAACCUUAGGCUGGUGUCUACCAACGAUUCUCUCAGCUGGUUCACUUUGUUUUCAAUCUCAUCUAAGAUUGGUUUAGAUGAAUGAAUUAAAAUAAAUGUUUGUUUCUCAGAACCAUGAUCUCUUAUAAAUUCUAAAGCUUCCUUUUGGGCUUCUGUUGAUGUCACUAAUUCACCUAUAUCUUUCUCUUGAACUUUAAUACCAGUCAUAGCUUUGUCCUUCAAUUCGGUUAGUUGUUUAAGAAGCGACUUUUCUAAAGAUUCCAAGCCUUUGAUGACAUUUUCUUUUGCUUUUGCUAUUUCUUUCCUUAUUUUACUUUCUUCUAGUUCUAUUCGACUACUAUUUUCCUUCCGAUUUUUUUUCAAUUUUUCUAAUGCAUCUGAAAUAAAGCUCAACUGUUCGUUAUAGUCCAGGAAUGACUGUGACUGCUUAGAAUUCUUUGACGCAAUAUCAAUUGAUGUGACGUUCUUACAUGCUCGAUGAUCUUUUGGCAAACAUUCCUCACAACAAAUAACAUCAUGAUCAACACAAAAAUAAUCAAAAGGCAAAUGUUGAUGUUUUGAACAAUAAUACGAUAAAUCAAUUUUGUUUGGUAUUUUACCUAUUUCAACCAAAUGGUGACUUCGAGACAUUUUUUGAACUUUGUGAGCUUCUGUACAUUCGGAACACAGUGCUUCUUCACAUUCGGUACACCAUUGUAAGCCUUGAGUCUUACGCCGUGCAGUGCACGGUUCGCAGUAUUUGGCUGUGUUAUUUCUAAAAUAAAAAUAAUUUUAAAAAUGUGCUAUUGUGAAUUCUAACUUCUUAAAAGCUUUAUCUUAAAAAAAAAUAGUGUGUCAUCUUCAUAUAAAAUGACCAUAAUAUGGUUACUUUUUUCAACUGAAUUCCAAAGAAGUGGAUACAAAAUUUUACACAUAAAGAUUUUCUUUGUUCGUAUGGAACUUUCCUGCUCUAUUGAAUGUGUUGAUAGGGAUUUGAGACGAUAUGACCAAAUUGCCUUUAAUGUGCUUCGAUGAUGCUAUUGAACAUCGUGAUAAUCCCACACCGUGGUUGAGUUGAGACGAAUUCAGCUGUCUUUUGAAAGAGUGUUCAAUUUAUUAAAGUUUCAUGAUACAAGCGGUAUUUUAUAGGACACGAACUUGUUCAAGUACAGUUUGUCUGUGAAAUAGAGAUGAUAGAAUUGUUUGGAAAACAAAUAUGGUUUCAUUAUAUGACAAAUAUUGAUUAUGUGGUUCAAUUGAUAGAGGUCUGCUUCAUUUGUUUUCCGUUGAUGUUUGAAUAUAAAUGAGUUCAUUGUUUUUCUAUUUUUAUAGCUUUCACAUUUAAAUGGCUGUUUUAUUUGACAGUUUAUCAAUUACUAUACGAUACGUGUUUUUCAUUGUUGAAGGCUGUAGGGUGACAUUAUGUUUGUUCUUUGCCAACUUGUAAAUUGUUGUUUCAAAAUGAAUCAUGCAAAAUCGGCUUAUUUUAAUAUAAAAAGCCGACAAUUCACAAAACUAGCGAUAAGGAAAAGAAAAUAAGCCGUUCACACCAAUAACGGGGAUUGAUUAAUGGGAGUACAAAUGAAUAAGGAGAUGUGGUAAAUGUGUCAACUAAACAACUCUAUGCAAGUCACAGUGUUUUUUGGGUUUUUUUUAGUUUUAAAAUUUAAGUACAGCCUUCAUCACGGUGCCUUGGCACACACCGAAAAAUGGCAGCAGGUCAGACGUUUAUUAGACUGUUUUUAACGUCUUCAUACUUAAUCCACGGAUUGGUAUUGUUUGAUAGUUUAGUCCGGUAGAACGUAAUUUAUUGAUAGUGGGUAUUGGCUUUGUACAAUCCUUUAGUAGAAGGAACUGUUUUCGCGGUGCUCUGUGCUAUUGUUUUUGUUCUACUUGGUUUUGUGCCUUAAACAUACAUUUUAACAUGAGCCAAUGCCAACUGAUUUUUAUAGUUUGUUCUUAUGUUGUGCUGUUACACCACUGUCUCAUCUUAGGAGAGGAUAGAGCGCUAGCAGACAUGUUUCGUCCCGUCAAAAUAUGUAUAUGCCUGUCCCAAGUCGAGAACCGGUAGUUCAGUGGUUUUCGUAGUUUUAUGUCAUUCAUUUGUGUUUUUCAUAAAUUGUUUAGUUAUAAAUCAGGCCGUGAGUUUUUAUUGUUUAAAUUGUGUAAUACAUUUCAUUGCGAUGCCUGUUAUAGACGACUAUAAGAUAUUGGGUUUCCUAAAAGUUGACGACAAUACGGCUUCCUAUAAUUGCUUACAUUUACUUCAAUUGAACUUUCAUGGAUAUUUUUAAAAUGAAGCGCUUUCGCCAUUCAUACAAAAUGUACUUCGGUAAACGCUUUUAAAAUCAAUAAAUUUACAAGAAUAAGCAUUCGAUUCUUAAAUGUGUGCAUCAUUGUCAUUUUUAAGACUUGAAUUGACGUUCAAUUUGAAGAAUAUUGAAUUAACCAGCAGAAAUAAUACCUUCAACAAAAUGGCUAUCAGGAAGCUUUUCACCUGUUAAGUCAAGGUGCGAUCGAUAUAUGUACUAGCAUAGUGUAGUAUUUAAAGGUACACACUUAUUAGAUUUUAAAAAUAUCUCUAACAAAGAAUGCUGAACUUAUUAAAGUAAACAUGACUUCAUAUCGAAGACUGCAAGAGUUACCUCUCUUUCUUUAAACCCGUACACUUUUACAUGGAAUCGCUUCGUUCCGUUCAAAAAUCAGAUCUAUCAAAUCUCGCCCGCUCGUCAUAUGAGCAUAACGAAAACAUAGAUUUAUGUUUUAAUUAGAAUUGGAAUUACUCCCCUUAUUGCAUACAUCUUUUUGGUCCCUGGUUUGUUUUUUUGAGUUUUUUGUGUUCUGAUUAAAAUGGCUUAAAAUAUACCACUGUUAGUUAUAUCUCAUGCGUUUUUCCACCAAGUUUAAUGAGUGAAUUGACAUUUUUUGUUAUUAUAAACACCUGUCAUUCUGUUUGUAUUUAAUAUGACAGAGCUAUCAGGAACAUCAUUGGGGUAUGAUAUAUCUUGUAAAUUCUUAGAGUAUCAAUCAUUGCUGUUCAUCAUUGUCACCGAAUUAUUCAAGAAUCAAAAAUGUAUAUGUAAUACUUAGGACCUAUCGCACAUACAUAUACUAGGUAUUCAUAAGUUUCCAUAAAAGGAAAGGUGUCAAUUAAUAUGAUUUUGAAUCAAAACGCACCAUUCCUUUUGCUCUUUUUUACAGAUCAUACAGGUAUGUAAUUUUCAUUUUUGUUUUUUUUUGUUUUUUUUUGUUUUUUUGUCGAUUUGUUUUAAGUAACCAAGAGAAUUGGUCAACGAUACAAGAAAUAAAACUCAUACAACUUUUACCAAUAUAGAUUUGAGUUAUUCCGCUUUGUUUAACAAAUAUCAUCAAAUGUUUAGAAGUAUUGUCAAAAUGUGAAUUAAUAAAGAUGACUUUUCAAUGGCAGAUCCAGGGAAGGGGGUUAUCCCUUUUCCCCUUUAUCCUGGGUUGGGGGUCCCCCAACCGUUUGGGAAUGACUGGAACCGCCUCUGCUUUUGUGUUUUAGUGAAUCUGGUUCUGCCUGGAAUAAAAUGUAUAUGAAUUUUAUUAGAUGCAGAUUAGUAGGUUUUUAACUAUUAGUAUAUGAACAUUUAUAUAUCCGAACUCGCGCGCUUGUUAUGUGAGCAUAAUAAAAUUAUAUUAGAUUGGGAAUGACUCCCCUUCAUUGUUCAAUGUGUUUAUAGUCCCUGAUUUGGUUUCAUGUGUUCUUAUCAAAUGGCUUAAAACUUUACCUUUGUAAGUUAGAUUUCACGUGUUAAUUCUAUCAAUUUUGAUGAAUACAAUAUGACAAACAUUGUUUUAAUAUGUCUUGAAUUGCAACAUAAAAUAGGCUCUUAUUCAUUCUCGGCUCCAAUGACUUUUAAAAGGGAUGUAAUGUAAAGUUGUAGUGAGCACUUGUAAGGUAGAUCAUAUGACUAAAACCUACUAUGUCUAUUGUGCACGAGCUAUACCCACUGUUGGACGAUACAAAGGAUGUAGCAACACAUUGCGAUACAUUUAUUAUAUUCUCCUAUGUUAUACCAGAACGAUAAGUGUGGCCUGUUAUAGCUGAUUCAAAUUUACGUGGUCCUAAGGAUUUUUUAAACCAAGUUUUUGCAGAUAUUAUCUCCUGGGGUUCCGUGUGAUUCUAUCAAACCAUAUGUUUGUAACCUUCUUGUUUUAAAAUAUUGUGCUUGUAGUUCUCUUAAUCAAUAAUAAUUUAAUGUAUUUUUCAUAGAUUUAAGACUUGUGACCUAUAUACCAAAUAUAACUUGAACUGUUAUAUCUUACCCUACUUCUGAUGUAAUACCUUCUUGCUCAAACUAACAUAACAAAACUUUGUGUGACAGAGUAACUAUGAAGGAGAGAUAACUCUAGGAAUAUACACCUUCAUUCUAUUCAUCAGUUCUAUAACAUGAUGACCCAAACAAUACCUUCAAGAUCUACUUAGAGACAUGUUUCUAUCCAUUGAAAUAGAAACUCCCUGCAAAAAAAGGUCAUUAUUGAGUUAACUGCUGGCAAAAAAAUAUAUAUACAUAUACAAUAUUAAAUUUUAAUGAUAGAAAAACUUAUUGACUUCACAUUCCUAUCGCCAAAUAAAUUUAAUAUUCAGUUAAUUAGUUUUUAUGCCUAUUUAAAGUUCAACAUCUCAUCCCAUCUCCAUCAUUAUUAUACUCAAGAUAAAUAGAGCCUGAGGAAUAUUGCUUUCACGUUCAAUCGUUUUUCAUGUUCAGUUGGAUUUAUGUAUUUUUUUGGUACUUUUUCGAGGUAAUGGAUGCUUUGGGUUUGUCCAUAACCUUAUCUAAAAGACCAUUUAUAUUUCCGAGCUGUAUUAAAGGUUGAAGGAGGAAUUGGUUGCCGUGAUGAACGUUCGAUCCCGUAUAUAUAGAUAGAUGGCUGUAUAUCAAUAUAUUUCUAGUUGUAAACUAGAACAUAUACGCAAAUUUUUCCUCAAUUAUAAGUCAUUCCUCAUAGAUGUUGUCGAGUUUCCAUUAUAAUAUAUAUCAGUGUCGAAAAGUCUUCUUUAACACCCCCAUCCCUUUCUUCCUAUUUUCCUAACAGAAAAUAAAUUAUUCCAUAAGUGGUAAGUUGGAACCUUUCCUUAUAAGAUUUUUAAAUAACUGAUACAAAAGUUUAAAAUCUUCAUUUAUGAAGCCUUCGAACCUUUUUCAUCGAGUAAAGUUUAAAAGCUGUUUUAAACAUUACAAAUAAUUAUUCUGAAAAAUACAACUUACCUGUGAUCAGUGUCAGGUAUUUAAUUUUAUACAUAUAAUUGAUAAAGACCUUAUAUAUUAUCAUAAUUAAAGUAAACAAGUACGGAGUGCUCGUAGGAAAACAAAGUUAUCGGUAAAUGUGACAAUAUGUCCGCUUUAAACGUUCUUUCAAAAAAUAUUGAAAUCAUUAUAUAUUGUGCCAUUAACGCCAAAUAUGUAUCCUUUUAACAACACUCUAAUCAACGUUUAACAUGACAGUAACCAAGUAGCAUCUCUUACCCAAAUUGCACCUAUUCAACAAAAAUAGAUGCGUAAAUCUAACAUUUUUUUCUUUGAGACUAAACAAUUUGGAUUUUAAUGAAUUGAUAUAAUACAACAUAGGAAAAUGUAUGUAAAUAUACAAAACACGUUCACAGUAUGUAUCAACAGAAGAAACAUUAAAUGGAAAAGUAAAAUUUAUGGAAACGUCGCUAUGCGAUGUUCAUAAAAAGUCAUCUUUAAAAAAUGAACAAAUAAAAUAUUUUCCAACCAUCCAUUUCUCGAAAAAUCAAUAGUAAGCAUACCUGUUAGUGACCUUUUGCUGUUGUUUUUUUUUCUAUGGUCGGGUUGUUGUCUCUUUGGCACAUUCCCCAUUUCCAUUCUCAAUUUUAUAGACUAAUGUCAAUUGUUCUAAAUAUUUAAAGAAAUAAGACAAACAUCUGUUAUUCGAUUGUUAAGAAUGUGAAUUUAAGCAUGGAUGCAAUUUGGGUACAAUUCUUCACAGACUCAUUGAUCGUGUAUAGGUCGGCACAAACCCAUUUUUCUGAUUAAAUGCGGAUUCAAAAUAGGAUAAGGCAGUUUGAAUUGUUUUAAAUUGUCAUUUCGGGGCCUUUUAUAGCUGACUAUGCGGUAUGGGAUUUGCUCGUUGUUAAUGGCCGUACGAUGACCUAUAGUUUUUAAUUUCUGUGUCAUUUUAGUCUCUUUUGAAGAGAUGUCUCAUUGGCGAUCAUACGACACCUUCUUUUUUAUAUUUAGUAUAACUAAAAAGUUAAUAAGGAUAUGUUUACAAAAUAGGCACCAAAUAGAAACUUUUGUUUGAUGUUUAUGGCUUGUUAUAUGACAUGUUGUCUGUCUCUAUACAUCAUAUCCUCUUUUUGUUUCGGUAGUCCAUUCUCCUCACAAUUAUGCUAGGUCUAUUAACCUCCUUGUUGACUCUACCUAUUGUAUAGAUUGUUAAUUUGCUACUGACGAGAAUGUGCUAUCUUCGUUUUUAAUACAUAUAUUUUGUACUAAACCUAAAGUUGGGGUUUCUAAAGAAGAGCAUUUGACGGUUUUGAUCGUUUUCGAUUGUCUUUAUUUCAGUUAUGUCGCUCUACCGCGAUGUUGGGUGGCAAAAUCGUUAAUGUCUGUUCUCAUUCGUCACUAUACUCUAGUUGAAAAAAAGUCCAAAAAAAGAUUUUUUUUUAAUUUCCAUGUUCACAACAAAUAUCAAAACAAUAGUUAUAGACAUUACAAGUAAAACAAUGACAAAAACCAGGUUCAACCCACCAUUUUGUCUUAAAAUGACCAUUACCAAGUCCAGAAUAUGUUAGUUUUGAUCUACGGACCGUUUCUGUGUAUGUCGGGGCUUUUUUUUUUUUUUUUUUUUUUUUUAGUUUUAUUACUUCUGUUGUUUUCGUCAUAUAGAUGAUGUGUUUCAUGCUGUUUUUGUUUGUUACCUAAGAAGUAAAUUAUUGAGUAAAUUUUUAGGUGAAAAUGCAGCCAUUUUAGCCAAAGGGUCCACAUGAACCUUAAUAGGGUAAUUUUAUGAACUUCCUGGUUAAAAUCGAAAAAUAAAAUUGAGACCAUUGUCUCAGACAAUCGUCUACCCUAUGCAUUGCAGAAUCACUUACAAUUUCACAGAUUGAGUUGGAAAUUUAAUGAAUACCUUUUAGAUAUACUAAAGCUUCGUUUAAUAAUAUUCCUAUUUGUAAAAUUUCCCUUUUAAAAGAUGAAAGAUGUAUUAAGGGAUUUCAUGUGUUGGUAUUGGACUGUUAUUCAGUAAAUAGGUUCUACUCUGCUGUCUCUUUCGACUUUGCAUUUAAGGACUUAUAAGAUAGGAUGUGGCAUACAAAACUUGAAACGAAAUAAAUUGUUUCAUCAAACAAACUUUUAACCAGCAACCUAAUGUUAAUUUCAUUUUAUGCAAUGUUUUGCAGUUUUGACACGUACACAAAAAACUUCAUAUUCAUUUAAAAUGUUACUUUUUUGCCUUGAAAACCGAAAUCGUUUCUCCGCGAUUAUUUGCAAUGUAAACUUUAGAUAGUUUCUUGUUGUAACAGAAUGAAAGAGGUUCCGAUAAAUUAUCUGUCGAUAAAAUGUCUACUAAGAUUCCAGCAGAUGUGAAAAUGUCAAUGGUUCGUGGAUCACGUCCAAGGACGUAUAUGUUAUCUUCAACAUCUAUUUGAAUAUCUCGGGAUUGAACUAGGUCAGGAGAGGUAUAAGAAAAAACAGGAUAUCCCUCUGCCGUAAUGCAGUAGACUUCGUUGAUGGUCGAAUAACAAAUGUUUCCAUUUGAGCAAACGGCAAUGUAGUCAAUGAAACGAUCUGCUUCUUUUACACUUAUUGUUCUCUUAAAAUUUCCACGUAAGUCUAGGACAUGUAUAUUACCUUUACAUCCGACAUAGAUGUUAUCUUUUGUUGCAUCAACACCACAACUUUCACUUUGGUUCACUUUCACCUGCUUCGAAAUGUGUUGCAUAUCGAUAUCGAUGAAAUGUAAGUACGCUCUAUAUCUACAAGACAUAACAGCAAUGGAUGUUCCAGGUAUAGCUGCUAUAUCCCACGGUGGAUGUGGAGAGCUGAUAGAUGAUAGGAAGGUAUUGUUUUCAUCAAAAAAAUAAAUCUUGCUCGUAUUUAUAUCACAGAAAAUCAAUUUGUUAUUGUCCGAUAUCGUCAUGCCAGAUACUGUCUUCAACCUUUCUCCUUUCGUGUCGAUGUCGUUUAGAUAGGUUACGGAGGUAAUCUUCCCAUUCGAAACAACUGGCACCUGUGACUGCAGCUGCUUGUAAGGGACCAUUGAAACUGAACAAGGCGUUUCCUUCAAUUUUAUUGACCCAAUACUCGUUAAAUAGUCGUUUGAUACCCUUUCGACAAACAUAAGACUGGUAUCUACAAACGAUUUUGUCAGCUGUUUAACUUUGUUUUCAAUGUCAUCUAAGAUUGGUUUGGAAGAAUGAAUUGUAAUAAAUGCUUGUUUCUCAGAACCAUGAUCUCUAAUUAAUUCUAAAGCUUCCUUUCGGGCUUUUGUUGAUGUCACCAAUUCACCUAUAUCUUUCUCUUGUCGUUGUAUACCAGUCAUAUCUUUGUCCUUCAAUUCGGUUAGUUGUUUUAGAAGCGACUUUUCUAAAGAUUCCAAGUGUUUGAUGACAUUUUCUUUUGCUUUCGCUAUUUUUUUCCUUAUUUUACUUUCUUCUAGUUCUAUUCGACUACUAUUUUCUUUUCGAUUUUUUUUCAAAUUUUCUAAUGCAUCCGAAAUAAAGCUCAACUGUUCGUUAUAGUCCAGAAAUGACUGUGACUGCUUAGAAUUCUUUGACGCAAUAUCAAUUGAUGUGACGUUCUUGCAUGCUCGAUGAUCGUUUGGUAAACAUUCCUUACAACAAAUAAGAUCAUGAUCAACACAAAAAUAAUCAAAAGGUAACUGCUGAUGUUUUGAACAAUUAUACGAUAAAUUAAUUUUGUUCGGUAUUUUACCUAUUUCAACCAAAUGGUGACUUCGACACAUUUUUUGAACUUUGUGAGCUUCUGUACAUUCGGAACACAGCGUUUCUUCACAUUCGGUACACCAUUGGAAAGCUUUUGGGGUCUUACCACGUGCAGUGCAAGGUUCGCAAUAUUUAGCUGCCAUAGUUCUACAAGAAAA